CCGAUAGCGCACAAGUAGAGUGAUCGAAAGAUGAAAAGCACUUUGGAAAGAGAGUCAAACAGUACGUGAAAUUGUUGAAAGGGAAGCGCUUGCAACCAGACCUGUCCGUAGGUGAUCAGCCGCUGUUCUCAGUGGUGCACUCGCUCUGCGAUCAGGCCAGNAUCGGUUCGGGCGGUCGGAUAAAGGCCUUGGGAAUGUAGCUUCCUUCGGGGAGUCUUAUAGCCCUCGGUGCAAUGCGGCCAGCCGGGACCGAGGACCGCGCUUCGGCUAGGAUGCUGGCGUAAUGGUUGUAAGCGACCCGUCUUGAAACACGGACCAAGGAGUCUAACAUCUAUGCGAGUGUUUGGGUGUYAAACCCAUGCGCGGAAUGAAAGUGAACGGAGGUGAGAACCCUUAAGGGCGCAUCAUCGACCGAUCCAGAUGUCUUCGGAUGGAUUUGAGUAUGAGCAUAGCUGUUGGGACCCGAA
rnacentral:rRNA from 1 species